rnacentral:tRNA from 1 species
UGUUAUGUGGCUUAGUUGGUUAAAGUGCCGGCGUAGCGAAUACGGAGUCGUGGAUUCAAAUUCCAUCACUACGC